rnacentral:rRNA from 1 species
UACGUAGGGUGCGAGCGUUGUCCGGAAUCAUUGGGCGUAAAGGGCGCGUAGGUGGCCUGCUAAGCGUGCGGUGAAAGCUCGGGGCUCAACCCCGAGUCGGCCGUGCGAACUGGUGGGCUUGAGCACUGUAGAGGCAGGCGGAAUUCCGGGUGUAGCGGUGGAAUGCGUAGAGAUCGGCAGGAACACCCAGGGGGAAACCAGUGGACUGGGCAUGUGCUGACGGCUCAGGUGCGAAAGCGUGGGGAGCGAACCGG